rnacentral:misc_RNA from 1 species
GAUGAAGAACGUAGCGAAAUGCGAUACGUAAUGUGAAUUGCAGAAUUCAGUGAAUCAUCGAGUCUUUGAACGCACAUUGCGCCCCCUGGUAUUCCGGGGGGCAUGCCUGUCCGAGCGUCAUUGCUGCCCUCAAGCACGGCUUGUGUGUUGGGCCUCCGUCCUCCUCCCGGGGGCCGGGCCCGAAAGGCAGCGGCGGCACCGCGUCCGGUCCUCGAGCGUAUGGGGCUUCGUCACCCGCUCUUGUAGGCCCGGCCGGCGCUUGCCGACACAUCAAUCUUUUUUCCCGGUUGACCUCGGAUCAGGUAGGGAUACCCGCUGAACUUAAGCAUAUCAAUAAGCGGAGGA